UACGGGGGGGAGCAAGCGUUGCUCGGAAUUACUGGGCGUAAAGGGUUCGUAGGCGGUGUGGCAAGUCGGAAGUGAAAUCUCUGGGCUCAACCCAGAGGCUGCUCCCGAAACUGCCAUGCUAGAGUGUGGGAGAGGCGAGUGGAAUUACAGGUGUAGCGGUGAAAUGCGUAGAUAUCUGUAGGAACACCCGGUGGCGAAGGCGGCUCGCUGGACCACAACUGACGCUGAGGAACGAAAGCUAGGGGAGCAAACAGG
rnacentral:rRNA from 1 species